AGCGAACUUCAAGAUGAAUUUUCCCAUAUUUUUAUAAUAGUAAGAUCCCUGAAAGACUAUCAGGUUGAUAGGCUGGAGAUGGAAGUGUAGUGAUACAUUGAGUUGACCAGUACUAAUAGAUCGAGGAUUUAACCAU
rnacentral:rRNA from 1 species